GUGCUUGCUGUGGCACAUACACUAAAAAUGGAACAAUACAGUGAAGAUUAGCAUGGUCCCUAUGCAAGGAUGACAUGGAAAUUUGUGAAGUGUCUCAUAUUUUU